GCCGCCCUUGGGGAGCUGCUCGGCGGGCGGGCGGAGCGCUCAGGGGCCGGCCGGUUGCGGGCGGUGGGCGAGAGUGCGGAGCUCCCGCGGCCCCUCGGCUCGUCCCUUCGGGGGGCUGAUGAAGGGGACCCCUUCCGAGCAGUGUCCCCCACCAACCCGUGUCGAGGGGCCGGAGCCGGAGGAGAGCAGGGAGGAGGAGAGCAGCGCUCCCAGCAGCGUUGCCGAAGGGCUCUGUGAUCACCUGGGAGAACAAAAUGCCCACCUGCACCCUCGGGUUCAGCUUCUGCAAACCAAAAAUCUACUCUUGUCAUGUAAUCUCCGCUUUGGGACAGUUUUCUGAAGAAUCACGCUGUUAGUGUAUAUAACACGGACCACUAUAGCUUUGCAGGUUGAAUCAAUGACAACCUUGCCUGGGUGCCCAGUCUGAAUCCAAACACGAUUUUAUUUCUCCUAAGUCAUAGAAAAUACUGUGAGUUCUGCUGUUGAAGCCACAUCACUAGACUUAACUUUUGAGUCUUAUACCACCAGAUAAAACCAUUGUUGGGAGUAUCAAUGACAGUGUUUUGAGCAAAGGUCUGAGGGCCCACCGCUCUCCAGGCUUUGAUUCAAAGGGCCUGUGGGUCUAAAAUGAGGACAAGAAACCACUGGUGUGGUUGCUGGUGGUUGCUCACUGUCACUGGAGCCUGGCACGGUGUCUCGAGGUGAGCCUCAGCACUGGCCUGCUCAAUGUCUUCAUCUGCGGUGCCACCACUGGUGUCUUAUGAUGCAACCUGUAAAUUGGCAGGGACAUGGUUCUUAUUGAUUUAAUUGCAGUAGCUGGUAUAGUUAACAUAAAAGGCUUUGUUCCUCAGGGCUGGGAUGAAGGGUGUGCUUUAUGCAUUGCAAGUGCUAAGCUAUCAGUCUCCUAUAACAUGAUGUUAUACAAUGCUAUACAGGGUGUUUCAAAAAAAGGUGGACCCAAUUUGAAAUCACAGCACGAGGCGUUUUGGGUGCAUCAUUUUGAAAUACCCUGUAUAACAAUCCAUACCAAUCAGGCUUUGUGCAAGCCUCUGAAAAACAAGUUCCUUGCACACAAAUUGUUGAUUCUGAAGUUCCCAGGAAAAGAUGAAAGAAAAUAAAGAUUAAGAUAUUCUUAUGAAAAUGUGUUUUGUUUAUGGCAAUAAAUGUGCCAAAAUAAAUGCCUAGUGAGACAAACAUAUAACAUUUUUAAUGUACAUCUCAUGAAACAGAAAAACUUUUUUUUUGGAUUAUUUGGGUCUACACAUGAUUUGUACAGUAAGUCACUGGAACUUGUAAAACAGAAGUGGAUAGUGAUAGCCAGAUAUGAAAGUGAUGAUGCCUUCCUAAAUACACUUUUGAAAAUUUGAGAAUUGACAAUCAGUAUAAAACUUACUUGAUAUUUAGUUAUGAAGAGGUAGUAAUCACAGCAUGGAUUUUUUAUGCAUAGGAACAAUUACAAAAAGCGUGUUUUAAAAAAUAUAUCCUCAGUUCAUGCUUUGGCCAUGACGGGUCAGCAGUUAUGACAAAAUAUUUGACUUACAUUGGAAUUACUUACAGGACAGUUGGAUUUCCUUCUAGCUCAUCAUCGUCACUAGACGAUGACUUAGUGCGUAAUUCUUAGAAAGCUUUUUCUGCUCUUCAAAACAUCUUGGAUGAUCUGAAAGUGUUAUUUAGAUGUGAAAUUCUGAUGAAAGUGCAGGGAUUUUGUUGCGGGGCUAGGGAUUCUUUCUUUUGGCUCAGAAAGGUAAUGGAGGCCUGUUCUGAAUCAAAACUCUAAAUCCAGUGUACUCAGAUUUUAGCAGAGAUUACUAAAUUGAAUAAAGCAAUGCUGCAUAGUACAUGAACUGGUAGAAUAUAGCCACGCCUCAAAGGAACUGUAAAAAAGGGGAAAAAAAAACGGUAUUUGAUUUAUUGCAAAAAGAAAAAAAAAAAAGGAGGGAGCUGUUUUAUCAUACAUCACCUCUGUCUUUUCUGGGUUUGGAUGAAAUAUUUUUAUUUUUUAUUAUUACAAGAAAGAAUAAUUCAGCUAGUAGUUGUGGACACUUAAAAGGUGCUCUUUUAUAGUACUUACCAGUGAUACAUGGGAAAUCUAAAAAUCAUGUACAUAAGUUAUUUUACUGCUUUGGAAAACGGAGAGGCCAUAAAAUCAGUAGCUUUAAUCACACAACUUUAUAACAAAUAUUAAAGGGCUUGUAAAGCUCUCUUCCAAGUAGCAUUGUCAGAAAAUCUGGAAGAGAUAAUAAUUCUCAAGUCCCCUAUUUUCUCAAAGGUCUGUUAUUAUUAAUCUGUUCUGAUACAAUGUUGCUGGGUUUUUUUUCAGCAGAUGGUUCUAUUGCAUUUAGUUUUACAGCUUUCAAGAAACAAAUUUCCACUUACAAGUCAGACAAAUUUGAAGUAGGAGUUACAUAUGACACUGCAGGACCAAAGUCUGCUUCAUUUCCUAGUGAGAUUGGAAUUUUCACUUCCAUUUGAUGAAGACAUCAGUAGUUACUUGCACAAAUAAAGAAGUGGGAUUUGGCUUCUAGAAUUUGUGAAAUAUGUCAAAAUUGAAUUAGUAAAGUGGAGUUUCAAAACAAAUCUGUAUUUUACCCCCUAAAAAUGCUGUUUUCAAAUUAUUUGGAAUAUAUUCGGUGAGAAAAUCUGUCCUCUCUCACUCACCUAAUGAAACAGCUCUGGUCUAGUGUCACUGCUCUUAAAAGGUUCUGGCAUACAAGAGUGGACAAAAGAGAGGGCAUCAUCUCUCAGGCUCAUUGCCCCAAGACAUUCUGCUGCAGCAGCUGAAACAAUAACAUUCACCAAAGCUGUUUUUUUUUUUCUCAGGGAAGUACUGGGCAGUUUGUGCAGAAUGGCUCAGUGCUUUUUUUCUCACCCUUUUCUGCCUAGAAAGUUGAAAAUAGUUAUAAUGAAUUAAUAUAACUGGAGGAACCUGUCAGGAUUAAAAAAUGCAGUGCAGUAUCCCUAACGAUCUGGAAUAGUUAAUUAAGUUCUCUUCUAAAUGAGUUCUAAAAAUAACUUACUUUCAGCAAGUUAUUCUGAGAAACAGUCACUUUAGCAUACCUGAGCUGCAGUGCCUAUUAGAAAGGGGCCAAUUAGCCAGUGAUUGGCAGUUAAAGGUGAACUGCUGAAGUUCUUAAUUGAAAGAUUUCCUGUUAUAAUCACCAGUAAGUAACGGAAUACUGCAUAUGUAAAGCAGGCAUAACGUUAGAAGAGUAUUUCCAUUUUGAAACAAAGAUUUUGAAAAUCUCCUUUACUUAACCGUGCCAAGUCCAAAACGGGAAUGUUACGGUUUCGUGUGCCACAAUUGCCCCUCAUUAGGGUGUCUUGCUCUGACUCUGCUGCAGUCAGAGGUAUUUGCCUCAUACCCAAAGCUGUUUAUGUAAUGCAGAAAAAUUAUUUGGGAUAUUACAAGAGGAUACUUCUGUCUUCUUAACAAAGAAACUGGCUGCAGAGUUCCUUUAGCUGCCUGUCAUUGACAACUUCCCCAAAUUUUCACUUAAUUCACAGUAAAGAGGAUAUUAUCUACUUUUCUAUGAGAUAUGUUGGAAUUAAAUUUUGGUUAAAAGCUUCUGGUUUGGAAGCAUGAGAUAUAUUGACAUACUACUAAAAUCUGAAUGAAAGGAAUUUCUCAGGAGGUGCUUCUCCCUGUUCAGGUGUAGAAGGACUCAGGGUCAUUCUGUCUACAUUUCAACCUCGCCAGAUACAAAGAGCUUUGCUCUGAAUGCUGCAUAACCAUCCUAACAGUGCAUUAUGCCCAAGAUAACACAGCCUGCUAAGAUCAGCUGGAACACCUUGUCACACUGUUCACUUCUUUUUAGACAGAAACAGUGACUUCAGCUCUGUCUCCACAGAUCUGGCCCUGCUGAUCAGCGCUGUAUGUGAAGGAUGACUUACUAGGCCUAUGGGCUUCUUGCUCUUGAGUGUUCCAUAUAAACACUCUUAAAAAACAUAUACAGCUAAUCCUGUAGUUCCUAGUUCUGCUAAAACAAGGCUUGUCAUUUUCAUAGGUGAUUUGACUCGUUUCUGCAGAGCUAUGGUGUCCAGCAACUUGCUUUGUCCUCUGUUUAGCAUUCAAGAAGACUCUCAGACCUGUAUUUAUUAACCAUUGCAACAGAAACAGAAUUUAGCCUGAAAUAGCAUUAUAUAUGUUCUUGACUGAUAGGUAAUAGUCCUUAUAUGAUGCCAGUUUUUCUAAGCUUUUGAUGAACUCAAUUUUCAUUAACAAUUCUACCAAUUUUCAGCAAGUCAAAAGUAUAAAGUUAAUCUUAUAAGGUCACACCUCCCUUGAAAUGACCAGUCUGUUUCCAUUUCCAGCAGGCACUAGCACAAGCUAAAAUUAAUAUUCACUGGCAGCUGAUGAAUUUUUUCACUUGACUAGGGCUGUUUUCAGUAUUCAAAAUUUUUACUUUGUUAGUAAAAACACUAACAGUAAUUACCACCAAGAGAAAAUGUCAAGUUUGCUUGGAAAAAUCCUUAAUUUACUUUUUUUUCUGUUCAGCUUAAUCCAUGGGAUUUUAAUGUAUUUUUCUCUACAUGAAGUCCUUCAGUACUUUCAAGGGGGGGGGGGAAAUAAGCCUGAGCACCUCCAGCUCACAAAAAAGCUUGUAGUACCAAAAAAGUUUCUGUUCUACAUGCAUCUUUUGAUUGCAAUGGAAAAAGUUAUGUGUGGAUGUUGUAGCUACAGGUUAAAGAACUUUUAUAUCCACCUGUAUUUUUCUCACUUAUAAAGAAAAAAAAAAAAGAUUUUUUAGAAAUAAAUAUUUCAAAUUUUAAAAUAUGCCGAAGUUUUAAAUACAAAACAAAUGUGAGAGCUCGUAAAAAUGUUACGUUGAAACAAACGUAGAUUAGAAAUGAGUUUGGUCUAGAGGAGUACAUGUGCAAGAUUUAAACCCAAGUCCCUGUUAUCUAACACGACAUGUUUCCUUUGAAGGUAAAUUCACUGCUGGUGAAGACUGAGGAUGGAAAUUUUGGAGCAUUUCUGUUUGUUAGAGACUCUGAUCUAUUAACAUUUCUAGAGGAGACAAAAAAGAUCUUUUAGGCUCAGUAGUCCUUAUAAUGUGUUUACCAUGCAACAACUUUGAGCCUAACAGUAUAGGCUUUAGUUUAUUGGGAGUUAGCAAUCUACUUGAUGGCUGCAAAACACCCAGGAAAAAUGUGGUCAUGGAUAAUAAUCCAUGAAAACAGAGAUAAAUUAGGUAUCUAGUUAAUGACGUUAAGCUACAGUAUCUUCUCCAUCAUCAUGAGCUAAACUACUGAGAUCUUGUAGGCAGAAAUGACUUGGAUAUUUUUACAGAGAUGCAGAAAUUCAGAGAAACAACUUUCAAAGAAGAGUCAGAAAAUUGAAGUGGUGCAAUGAAAAUCUAAAAAUGAACUAUGGCAUCAUACUGUGGUGGUGCAUAAUUUGGGAUCAUUACUCACUAACUAAAUGGUUCUGCAGUUCAUCCUGAUUAAGAACGUUUGAGUAGGUUAAAGCUGCUGAAGUUUCAGAUGAGUAAGCAAACAGCAGCCUUUUUGACCCAUUUGUUUCACUGCAAAAAUCCUCCUGUACCAUAAAAUAUUUAUAACAUAGCUUUAAGGACUCUUUUGUCUCUAUCCUGCUGUUCCUAUUCUGUUGGAUUUUGCCAGUACAGAUAAUGUUAAUAACGUUAACAAUCAAAACAGUUUUUAACUGUGUCACAUUUAAUACUCUUUUCAUCUCACAGUCAGAUUUUUUAAGAGAGAAUUGAUCUAGUAAGGAUGCAGCUGUUUUGACCUAAUUAGCAAAGCAGUGAGUUUAAUCUUGAGUGAUACUGGGAAAGCAUUUUAUCAGUACAAAAAAAAAAGCAACAAAUGAAUUGUAACUUUCACUGUCCUGUUGAACUUUAUUACCUAAUCUGUAGUAUAAGCCACUGACAUAAUCUGCCUCUGAUUUUGAGACCUCAAGGAAGGGUGGCUGUGACAGUGCCCUUUGAAAUAACAUUGAAGCAUCAGCUCCCAUGUCAACAUCGUGCUCUAAUCAGUGAAGUCUUUUUUGUUGCAGGGUCUUCCACCUUAUAAUUGACCCUGACAUAUGCUAUUCCCUCUACCCCUUGGCUUUGGACAUAUAAUUCCUGUCAUAGUCAAUUAUUAGGUGAUAGAGCCUGCAACCACAGGGACCAUUGCUUAAAAUCAUCCUACACAGUAAGCCCUGAAGUGACCCAGUUCAAAUCUAACUGGAGGGGAAGAGGAGAUCUGGUCUUAGAUAAAACUAAUAUUCUUUUCACUUCUCUAUAUAUAAAUGUCAAUUUCCAACAUCCUGUAUAUUGCUGAGACAAAUGGUGACAGUGCUAUUUCUGAAACAGGUUAAGGAAAAGUACAAAAGCCUUUACCAAACUCGACAUACUCUGAAAUGAAGAAAUUGUCUGUAUGAACAUACAGUAUGCAUAAAAAUUAGAUUACACUACAUUUGAAAGGCAGAUGAGAGUUUAAGAGUGACAAGUGGGCAAGUGCUUAAAAUAAGGGCAUGUUACUUCCUUUCCAGCACUGCUUUGUCUGUAUGCUUUCUUUGAUGUUGUUUAAGCUUUGAAGUAAAGAAAUAGUUUGCAAGAGUCUGAAAGACACUUCUGAUUACUAUAUCGAUAAGAACUGGUUUUGAACAAAAAGAUCUCUUCUGUGUGUCCCAUUGAUUGUAUAAUGCCUCAGAAAUUGGGCAAGGACAAAAACCAGGACACCUGGUCUCUAGUCUUAGUGUAAGCAUUAUGAUUUUUGAAAACAUACAGUUUUGCAGUCAUUGUAUUACUGCAAUAACAUUAGAGAAUCGUUACAAUUUCAGGAAAAACUGCUGAGACAAGAGCAGAAGUUUACCAUCCAUCUGCAGAGAUUUACUUGAAAGGCCAGGUUGUGAACCUUGGGUUCAUCUCACAGAUUCUCUGGCUGUAGUCACCUGUGCCACUAACCCAGAGGGAGAGCUAUCCCUGUUUCUUGCUGCAUAGACAUUAAUUUCAAUUUGCUAGUUUCCAUUACCUGGUUUAGGUUGUUUAAUUGUUUGUUUGGUGAUUGUUUGGUUUUGAUUUGGGUUUUGUUUUGUUUUUUAAAGCUGAAGGGAAUUUUAACAAUCUACAAUGUUUUCACUCACGUCCACUGAUUUGUUUCACUGUUGACAAUUUACUUAGUUCUCUUGUACCUAAACAACCCAGUUCAGAAAUAAUCCUUAAAAGAUGUUUGCAGUUCUGCUGAGUUUUACAGGCAAUACAUGAUAUAGUGUUCUGAAAAAUGUGAUUUCUAAUAUCUUUAUUACAUAUCUUAGCCUGAAUAGACAAAGCUCUAAUUAACAUUCAUAUAAUUAUCUAAGUCUUUUAAAAUCCCAUCUGUACAGUUUGUCUUAAUGAUGUAUACAUAGCGUUGCAAUCCCAAUAAAUACCAGGCACAUACAGUGCAAGUGCUUUUAAUUUAAACCAUAUCACUGAUUAAUGAUGUAGUAUUCUGAAACUAUCGUACAUGUUCUGUAUUUCAGUUGUACGGUUGUCUUAAGACUUGAACACCUUCCUGCUGAAGUACACAGUCCUGCAGAUCUCUGGGAGCUGUUACUCCAGGAACUGCUGUUACUAUAUGCAGUAUCCAAACAAGUCAACUUUGGAAACUGCUGAUUUAGCUACAUAUGGGUGACUUUACCAGAAUGUGUAACCCAGCCCAAGACAAAAACUCACAGUUACUGAACCUAUUAAUGUAUACAAAUACCAAAACUCCACAACUUCAGAAUAAAAAAAAUGUACUCUUCCUAACGUACAUGUUUUUUAUCUACGCUACACAUAUCACAUGACAUCCUAAACAUUAUUUCACAGAAGAGUUAAUUCAGCUUUCAGCAGUCCACGGUCUGUGAAGCAAGGAGAAUAACUCCUGGCUGGUUUAUGUUUUAAAGCAUGAUUGAAUAUACUAACAGGGCUCCAUGAAGUACUCAUUUCAAUAUAUAUAAUACUUUUUAAAAAUAUUUCAUCUCUAUACAGGUCUCAUCCUCUAAAUAAGUGGAGCAUUUCUAUUGCACUUAUGAAGCAGAGGCAGUAGAGCCCAAAAAUAUUGGGACAGCACCAGUGAUCUGAAUCUUCGAAUUUUAUUCUCUGGUCAAUAACUUGUUGAUCAUUGCGUGAUCGUUCAUGUGACUUGAGCUUCUCUUUGUUUCCAUUCUCUGUCUGUGGAGUAGGCAUAGCUGUACUUUGCAGAGUAUUUUGAGAUGUGUAGAGGUUUACAACUGCAUAAAUUACAAGACAUCAUUGUAAUAAGUAUUUUAAAAGUCUUUUCAGAAACCUUGUAACUCAGUUGUGCCAAAGAUCUGUCCCUAACAUUUAGAUUAUGACAAUUAAAGUAAAUACUUUGUGUCAGAUGAAUAAGAUUAUAUAUAAUCUCAUAGAUUUUUAAGAUUAUCUUUUUUUUAAUGUUUGUAUGCAGGUUCUUCUGGGGAAAUAUGCAGUGUUUAAAUCUCACCACGGCAACUGAUUUUUCUGUGCUCUAUCAAUAACAUAUUUGCAGAACUGCCAGAUGGGGAGAGAAACUGCAGUGAGAAAAUAAUGGUCAGAUUCAACGUGUUACAAACAAACAUAUUCCACCUGUUACAACAAUCUGGCAUAUUACUUUCUUGAUACGUGAUGAUACAAUACCUCUCAGGUUUGCUGAGUAGCAAAGAGAAAUGUGACUUAUGCAUGGAGAACAAGAAGAGCUACCCUAAAGAUCGUACAUAACAUAUAUCUAUCUGGGGAAAGUGAAUAAUAAACAGUCUCUGGAGCUUGGCAGAAGUUUCAUUCAAGGGCCAUCAUGGACUUUGCAUAGUUUUAUUUAUUGUAUAAUAAGUAGUCAAAUAAAUUUUCAGACAUUGAAAGUGUAUUUUUCUAUAAUAUUAAUACAAAUUUUUAAGCAGGUUUCUUGGCAUGCAUUUUGUUUGUACUGUGCUUGAGGUUGUUUAUGGCAUUAGUGGUUUGUGUGUUUGUGCAUGUUUGCAUUCUGUCUGUUUAUGAAGUAUUUCACUGAUACCCUUACACAGCAUGUGGUCGGUCGAAGAUUAUUUUUGAUAGCAUGUGUAGUCAUCAUGCAUUUCACUGAAAAGCUUUUAAACAAAGGUAGGUUAAACACUGCUUUUCUAUAGUUAUGUAAAUACAGACUUGCAGGUUGUACUCGUCUUCACAGAAAUUAGAUACAAAAAAUACUUGCACUGUUUUAAAGAUGAAAGUGUGAAUUGCUGCCAAUUUUUCCAACAGUCACGGCAGUUUAGUAUAUUUGAGCUUCAUAAAGAUAGGCCAAUUCUAUUAAUAACUGGAACACUAGUAUAUUUUUAUUAUCCUAGAUGUCAAAAAUAAUUAACAGAUGACUCAUUAUAUUAUAAUAAUACCAUGUGUAUAAAUCAGGUUUGAACUGAACUACAGAAGCAAAAACAAACCUCUAACAAGGGUAAUUUAAAUCUCUUCAGUCUGUAAUUGACAGCUAAGUAUAGGCAAUACUUUCAGGACCCACAGACAGGGUUGUGAAAUUAAUCUGUGAAUUACGCUGGGCUUAGAGUGUUAGUUGAUACUUUUCCUGGUGUUUUGAAAGUAUAGGUUGUUCAGCAUGUGUCUAACGAGACAUUACAGGAAUACCGUUUGCAAAAAAUAGAUGCUGAGCAGCUCUAGACACAGGCAUCAAUUCAGUAAGGAUUUUUGUGAAUACUGCUGAAUAAAAUAUUGUUGCUUUACUUAGAUGCCUAACUGCUACCUGAAGAACAUAAUUCUCCCCAUGAGUCUUGUCCUACAGUUCAAGAAACUCUGCUUUUGCAGAAAUUGAGAAUGUGCAUGAAAGAUCAAAGAAACAGAGUUGACCAAUAGUAAAUGCUUGUGAAAAUUCUGCUUAUAACUAUUAUUUUAUUACUAUUUUUUCUUAGGUUCUUCACAGGUAAUAAACUCCAUGUAUCAGCUCUGAUUUUUUGAGAAUAUUUUCAUACAAGUGUACCUCUUUACUUACUACCAGAAUAAUAUUAGACACUUUUCUAAUACUUCUUUUACAGUGCUCAAGUGUGCAUUUAUGAGAGCUUAAAAUAUAUUUCAUUAAGAUUAUCUGUCUUUGAAUAUGAGAAUAAAAUUAAUGAAUAUCAGUGAAAACAUCUCAUUUAUGUGAUGCAGUUUUUUAUGUACUUUCUGACUGUAAAAUAUUAUACUGCUUCAUCAUUUAUAACACCAUGCUGUGCUGCACAACUAUAGUUGCUUUUUAUGUAUAGCACUGUAACAUACAGUGAGACCUUUGCUUAAGAAUAAUUAUUUAAGUGACUUUAAGUGAAUUAGAAAGAAGAUAGCUAAAGGUGGAAUUCAGACCCUCUAGCUAUUCUUUCUGCUUGUAACAUGCCAUACCUGUGCUAUUCCUGAGGAGCCUGAAUUCAAUCCACAUAAAAUAACAUUUCUAUGCCUCAAGACACAGGAGCCAUUCGUACAGAAAUAAGAAGCAAACUGUGUACAGAAAUAAACUUUACAUCUUAUGACAGUAGCAGCAGGUUCAUAGUGUCAGGAAGAAAAAAAAUCAUGAAAGGAAGCCAAGCCUGACAAACUGAAUUGUGGCUCAUCUGAAUGUUGUUGAACUUGGUUUCACUAACAAAGCAGUGGUAUAUUUUUCUCAUUAAAUAAUAAUUUGCAGUUGAAAAGGGAAAAUUAUAAAAGUUCCUAUCACCAUUUUGUACUAGUUUUAAAAUAAAUAUGUUUGCACUAUAUAAAUUCAUAGAUCUUGGCAACUGUAUAGGUAUUCUUCAGUAUUUUAAAUUGGGAACAGAAAAGAGGAUUUUAGUAAAAGCUAAAAAUGACUAAAUUUUGCAGUAAUUUGUAUGGAAAUGUGUAUCCAUGCAGAAUCGACGUAAAAUUCCACAUAUUCACUAUAUAAGGAGUACUAUAUUUAUACAUAUUAAUAUGCAAUAUUUUGCAGAAUGUAGACUAUGUAUUCUAUCUUUUUAUAU